UUUUAUUUAUGUUUUAAACUAAGGUUAAAAAACAUGUUUUAGACAAAAAACAUGUCUUAAACAGGCCAAAAAAACACUUGAUAACUUUGAUCUGUGUAAAAAAUUUAAAUAUUUGCACCAGAGUUGGCAUGUUUUAAGCAAUUUGUUUAAAACAAUGGACACUGUUAGUGGAUUAGUUAGUACUACUAAGUAGUCUUUAUUGUGAUGACUGUUAUUUAAUAUCCAAAAACAAAUAUUCUGCUGAAGUAAUAGAAUAAUACUCAUCUUAUCAUUUUCAAUUUGUAUUUCAGUAUUUGUAUCUUUAUAUUUAUAUGCUACAUAAGUAAUAUAGAUAAAAAACUAAAUAAAAAACUGAAACAAAAACGUUUUUGUGUUUUAAACAGUUUUAAACAGUAGUUUAAAACUGUGAAAAAAAAUGUUUAAAAUAGUGUUUACCGUUUUAAGCAAGUUUUAAUCAAACAGUUUUAAACAAAUUGUUUAAAACAUGCCAACCCUGCUGCAGAGUUGCACUGCUCGACUUUAACGUGGUCUUGAUACAAUAACGUGAUGACAUAAUGUCUGUAAUUUUUUUUUUGAGAGUUUAAUGUAUCAGAUUUAUAGGUAGAUGUACGACACUUAUGACUUUAAGCUUUGUAGGAGUUACAGUCCUGCCACUCUCAUUAUAUAAUUCUUCCGGUGGUUUUAAUAAACUGAUAUACUAUUUUAAGUGUGCCCAGUUCCUCUUUCUUUAAGGGAAUUCUAAAGUUGUCUGUUUUACUGACAUUUUUUAAAUCAACUGAUCUUUUAAUUGGGAUUAUAGAAUUGCAAAACUUCUUUACAGAAUUAAAGUAUGCACCAAAAUCUGGGAUAUAAGGUCCCUUUGUAAGAUUAAAAGUUUAGGAAAAAAUAUUAGUUUCAUGAACAUUUUAUAACUGCAAAUUCAGAUACAGAUUAGAAAAAAAGCGGUUUAAAAAACAUUUGUUCUUGGUAUAAAAUCUAGUAUACGAGAUGAUAUUAAUACGUGUACUUCAAUGGAUUUCCAAUUCUAUAAAGAAAUACAUACGAAAUCUUAGUAAUGAUUUGCACGAAUGACUACGUUAUCGAUCCUGAUUAAUUUUAACGGGCACUUUAGCAUCCCCUUAACCAGCUCCAGAAGCUAUCCGAUCUUUUAUCUCCCAUGUUCAAUUUUUCUGUUCAUUUCUAUUUGUGCUUUGUCAUAGAUAGUGCAGUUGAAUACUAGAUGGUCUAACUCUUCCCUCUCGUUGCCGCACUGACAUCUGGCGGUAUCUUUGUAACCUUUUUGCACCAGGCUUACAUUUAAAUUGUAGUAAUUCGAUCUCAUUGUCAGUCUGUUGAACAAUACUUUCGCUCUUCUUAACAUGUCCAUUUGUUUAAACUGUGGGCUUCUUUCCUCUUUCUUGUAGAAGUUCUUGAAAUAGAGCUUACCUUUUUCUCUUACUCUGUUGCUUUGACUAGCUUAUUAACUUCUUUGUUUCCUCAUAUGUUCGUAGGUGCUGGUAUUUAUGCGAUUAUUACUACUUGGCUCCUUUUUUGUAUCCUGAAGUACCAUUUUCUUAUUUCUAUUAUAUAAUUGUUUGCAUGAACUGUAAUUUUAUUGUCAUUUAAGAUUUCUAUCUCAUUCAGACUAUCCGUUAGUAUCCGUUAGUAUAUUUUUCCAAAUUUUGUUGCGGAGCAUCCACUCCACGGCCUUUGCUAUUGCACACGCCUCUAGUGUAGGGGAAGGGAAUAAGAUGACCUUAGGGUUUGUCGAUUUUUCCUAAUUUCUGAUGGUGUAAAAAUAAUGAUCUAUUUUUUUAGAUUUACUAAAGCUUUUUGUAUCUAUUGUAAAAAUUAAAAGCUGUUAAAUAAAUUAGAAUUUCAAGAAAUUGAUUUUGUAAGAACGUGUUAAUUUUGUCUUGCCUUCCUAUGUGAAUAAAAUAACUUUCAGUAGCGAAAAAAGUCUAAUUAAGUGAAAUUAAAAUAAGAUAUUGCAACUUAUCUAUUGUUUAUCUGUAUAAACAUCAAUUUUUUUAUUUAUUUAACAAUAUAUUAUAUUAAUAAUACAACUACUUUGACUUUAUUUGUUAAAAAUAACAAAAUCAAUAAAUUCUGAUAAAAUUUACUUACAGAUUACCAGUAUAACCAGUAUCACAAAUUAUAAACUUAAUUUGCAUAACAUUAACGCAAUUUAAUGUUUGUUGCAGAACAUAAUUUGCAAGUACAAAUGCGUGAUCCGUCAUCUUAUUCGCAGUUAUAGUAUUUACUUGUUUAUUUAAUAAAAAUGUUACCUGCUAAAAAUAAAAAAUAUGAAUGUAUUAGUAUAUACGUUUUUAACUAUUGUCUGGAAUCGCGUGGAAUGUCACUCGUUUCUUUGCGACGUUUAGAGUAUGAUAUGCGGCUGGAUCGUAUUUGUGACCACGCAGGAGACGGGUGAUCGCGAAUGCGUGUUCAAGAGAUGUAUGGAGGUAAACCGGGACGUCCGGGCGAUCCGAAGACGCGUGAGCGCGGGCUGCGAGCAGUCAGUCUGUCUCCGAGCGACUUACAGACACGUGACAAUUAGCGGUAUUAGUUCACGUGAACUUAGAAUCUAAAAUACAUUCCGGACGAGCACUUGCUCUCGGUCGCGACAGUUUGCAACGACGUCGUUGCCCGCUCACGCAACGUCAGUUUCUCCUUUCACUUUACUGUAAAUUGGAGUGUACAUUAACAAGAUUAUUAAUUAAACGUUAUUUUUUUGUGUGCGUAACACCCCGUGUAAUUUACUUGAACGCUCCGGCUUCCCUUCCACGACGCUCACGCGCUAGCAAAACAGCCUUUAACAACUAUAUUAUAUCAUGAUUUUAUUUAAAAACCGAAAGUAUUUACUAUAAUUACUUCAUUUUCUAUAAACAAAUGCUAAAAAUGAGUAUUGUGCAUGGGUGCCAUUAUCUAGGGGCAACCUAAAACAUAUUUCUUAUUAUAUUAUCUACUUUUUUGGACCGAUUGAAACUAAACCACAACAGAUAAUAUAUUAUUAUCUAAAGCCUUUAAUGAGUUCAACAUUGGGUCUCUGUUAUUAGUUCAGAACAAUUAGCGAGUCGUCAUCUUACCCAUUUUGUCAUCUUAUUCCCCUUUCUUUUAUAUAUAGUUGCCGUACUAUUGAGGCUCAUAUAGUAUCCCUAUUUCAUGUUUUCCACAAUAAAAGUAAUACCGAUCUCUUCUCUUCAUUUUUUGAGCCGUCUAUGUAUAUUCUUACUGUGUGUCUAGGUCAUAUUUUUUGUAUAUUUCCUUAAAUAAUUCAUAUAUGAGAUCUUUUUUAUAGUUUUAUUUUGUUUCCUAUUUCUAAUUCUAUGUUUAUCUCGUCCGUUAUAUCCCAAUAAUUCAUACCAAAUAUUUUUUCUUUUGUGUUCUUGUAUAUUACUCCUGUGUAUUUCACCUUAUUCCAUGCUUUUGAUAUUAAGCUCUUUUUGUUCCAGGAUGAGUUUACUCUGUUUCUUUUCUCUUCUAUUGCCAGUAGUUUUAUUUCUUCUAAUAUUUCUCUUUUAAUGGAGGUCACAAUUUUUAACAUAUAAUUUCUUAGCAGCAUUCUUGCUGUUUCCCAUUCGACGCCACUUUUGCUUUCGGUAGCAUUACGUUUGUAGGAGUAUUGUUUAUGUACCCCAUCCUUAUUCUCAUAUAUUCGGCUUUUUUAAUUUUAUUUGCUGCUUCCCUUAUUUUUUAAAACGCGGAGAAAA